GAGGAAGUGGAGGCUGGCGGAGGAGGAGGGCGGGGCAGAGCUCCUGAGGUCUCCCGCGGAAGGUGCGUUCGCGCUGAGACCCCGACGGGAGGGGUCCAUCGCCACCCUCAGGGACCCCAGCCGUCGCCUGAGGUCAGAGCUCAGGAAUGCACUACCAAGGACCAGAAGAGGGAGAAGAAACACCCCUUUGGCUUCUUCGCGAGGCUCAGGACUCCUGGCCACGCCCCAGUCCUCUCCCCACCUCUCUCCGAACGCCAUACCCUAUUUCUAAACGGACUCAGAAUCGCGCCUCUGAAACUCAGCCUCUGCUGUCAACACCCAGGGACGCUGGACUCAGCUUUGCCCUCUCUCGGUCUUAGGACAUCCGCUUCCCAGCUCCCUCCUCACUUUGGGACGACAGCUGCUGGAUCUCAGUCCCCGGCCUUUCAGAGUCCAAAGUUCGGAUUUUGUCCCCUGCAUGGGGACGAGGUCAGUAAUUCUGAACCUCAGCCACUCUCUUUCCCAAACCCAGGACUCCCUACUCCAAGCUCCUCCCCUCCUGAGGACCUUGAUUCCAACCCCAUUCAACCCCGACACAUAGGAGACCCCAUCCCUCUGUGCCCUCAGACCCAGGAGUCCAGGCCCUCAGCCUCUCCUCCUUCAGACCCAGAAGUCCAGGCCCCCAGCCCCUCCUUCCUCAGACCCAGGAGUCCAGGCCCCCCGCCCCUCCUCCAUCAGACCAGGAGUCCAGGUCCCAGACCCUCCUCCAUCAGACCCAGGAGUCCAGGUCCCAGACCCUCCUCCAUCAGGCCAGGAGUCCAGGCCUCUAGCCCCCUCCACCCUCCUCAGACCCAGGAAUCCAGGCCUCCAGCCCCUCCUCCCUCAGACCCAAGGAGUCCAGGCCCCCAGCCCCUCCUCCCUCAGACCCAGGAGUCCAGGCCCCAGCCCCUCCUCCCUCAGACCCAGGAGUCCAGGCCCCCAGCCCCUCCUCCAUCAGACCCAGGAGUCCAGGCCUCCAGCCCCUCCUCCCUCAGACCCAGGAGUCCAGGCCCCUGGCCCCUCCUCCCUCAGACCCAGGAGUCCAGGCCCCCGGCCCCUCCUCCCUCAGACCCAGGAGUCCAGGUCCCAGCCCCUCCUCCAUCAGGCCAGGAGUCCAGGCCUCCAGCCCCUCCUCCCUCAGACCCAGGAAUCCAGGCCUCCAGCCCCUCCUCCAUCAGACUCAGGAGUCCAGGUCCCAGACCCUCCUCCCUCAGACCCAGGAGUCCAGGCCCCAGCCCCUCCUCCAUCAGACCCAGGAGUCCAGGUCCCAGACCCUCCUCCAUCAGGCCAGGAGCCCAGGCCUCUAGCCCCCUCCACCCUCCUCAGACCCAGGAAUCCAGGACCGCAGUCUCCUGGUCCAUCAGACCAGAAGUCCAAGCACCUAGUCCCUUCCUCUCUCAGACCCAAGAAUCCGAGUCCCCAGUCUCCUCCCUGAGACCCCGCAGUCUGGGCCCCCAACCCCUCUUCUUUCAGGUGUAUGACUUGUAUGAGUCCAGGUCCCCAGCCCUUUCCUCUCCAGAACCUGAGUCCUGGCCUAGAUCCGGUCUUUCUAGGGACUCAGAUAGUCUGAAUCCUAGUUCAUUCAUCCUUCUGCACCCAAGAAUCUUGGACCGCUGCUCCCACCCCCUGGGGUCCCCGCAGCCUCACCUCACGGGCUUGUGGUGGCUGCGGCUGAAGCAGAGGCGACAGCUGCGGACUGGAAGGGUCUGA
rnacentral:lncRNA from 1 species